AUCAUUAAAAAGAAAAACAGAGCUUAAGAAUACAAUGAAUAAACUGGGCUGAGUGUUCACACUCAUGUGUAAGAUGUGCCUCCCUCAAAUUUUGUCAUGAAAUAAGCACAUUGCCCAUCUGAUA
rnacentral:ncRNA from 1 species